GGUAAUGGCUCACCAAGGCGACGAUCAGUAGCUGGUCUGAGAGGAUGAUCAGCCACAUUGGGACUGAGACACGGCCCAAACUCCUACGGGAGGCAGCAGUGGGGAAUACUGGACAAUGGGGGCAACCCUGAUCCAGCCAUGCCGCGUGAGUGAUGAAGGCCCUAGGGUUGUAAAGCUCUUUUGUGCGGGAAGAUAAUGACGGUACCGCAAGAAUAAGCCCCGGCUAACUUCGUGCCAGCAGCCGCGGUAAUACGAAGGGGGCUAGCGUUGCUCGGAAUCACUGGGCGUAAAGGGUGCGUAGGCGGGUCUUUAAGUCAGGGGUGAAAUCCUGGAGCUCAACUCCAGAACUGCCUUUGAUACUGAAGAUCUUGAGUUCGGGAGAGGUGAGUGGAACUGCGAGUGUAGAGGUGAAAUUCGU
rnacentral:rRNA from 1 species